GUGGAAGUAUACCAAACUCCAGGGCUGGAUGGCAUAACAGUGGAAGUAUACCAAACUCCAGGGCUAGAUGGCAUACCAGUGGAAGUAUACCAAACUCCAGGGCUGGAUGGCAUACCAGUGGAAGUAUACCAAACUCCAGGGCUGGAUGACAUACCAGUGGAAGUAUACCAAACUCCAGGGCUGGAUGGCAUACCAGUGGAAGUAUACCAAACUCCAGGGCUGGAUGGCAUAACAGUGGAGGUAUAUCAAACUCCAGGGCUAGAUGGCAUACCAGUGGAAGUAUACCAAACUCCAGGGCUGGAUGACAUACCAGUGGAAGUAUACCAAACUCCAGGGCUGGAUGGCAUAACAGUGGAGGUAUACCAAACUCCAGGG